GUGAUCCAUCUGUGUACCCACUGGUGACCUUUCCUGAAGAACAUGGACACCGAUUUCCAAUAUCUGAAACAAAAACCUCACUUUGCAUCACCACAUCAGAAAAUGCUGUGUAAUGCUGUGUAUUCCAGCCAGUAGAAUGUGAGUGGACAUCAUAUGUACCACCUGUGAGCCUGGACCAUAGAACUCACACAUAAUCCUUCAUGCUCUUUCUUAUGUGACUACACAGAUGAACAAAGCAAGCCAAGUGUGGAAACACUUUCAAGAUGGAACCACAGGACGGAACAAGCCUGGAUCCCGGAACCCCUCCUUGGAGGAUUAGUGACCACAUAUCAUAAAUACCCAUCCAGAUCUCAGCGAGCAAGAAAUAAAUUAUUGUAUGUGAA